GGGCUCGUGGGGUAGUGGACAAUCCUCUCGGGCUUCGGACCCGAGGACCGGCGUUCGAAUCGCCGCGGGCCCG
rnacentral:tRNA from 1 species